UCUUCAGCUGUUGCCCUGACGAUUUGACUUUUACGAUUCACGUAAUUUUUGCAAUCAUUAAAUGUUCGUUGAAGGAGCAUUCCAUAAAACUGGAAUAGCUCAUGUGAGAUGGCGUGAUCGGUCAUGAAGAUAGGGAAAACCAGGCCACCAGGCAUUUUCCUUCAAAAUUGAAAGGCCUAGGCUUCAGUUUUGGUGGCAGUGCCACCUACUGUUAUAGUUUGUCAAAUAGGCCAAAUUCGAAAAGAACACGUUGGGAUUUAGACUGACAAACACUUGAUGUGUUAAGUGAGAUCAUACAUCAAUAACAAAACUGGCAUGGACAAUGCUUCGUGCCACUAUUUAAGUACUCUUGUUGACUCUGAGCCAAAGGCAAACAGAAACACAAUCCACUUCAUGGGAAGUUGUAAAAACCUUGCUUAUUCUUGAGUGGGAAGAGGAGAAACUUACAUACUUGGAAAACUGUCAAAAAAACACUUUUGUUGAGUAUUCAUAAUUUAAAUGGAUUUAUGGAUUGCUAAAUGAAGAAUAAUGGUGUUUGUAUUGAGCCAUUAUUUUUUGCUUGUUCUGACAGAAAUGUAAUAACACUUAAAUUAAAACUUAACAUUGCCAGGAGAGGAUUUCAUUUUGUUAUCAAAAUAUUGUUUUUAAGUACUUACCCUAAUUUUCCUGUAACCUCGCGGACGUAACUUUUGGUUACAGUUUAUUAAGAGGAUAUCACUUGAUGAUACCCGGGAAAAGCAAUGACUACUAAGACGGAAAAGCACAGUACACCGGUCACAGUGUAAUGAUGCCGACUGGGCUAAUUCCGCAUUUUUUAAUCAUCCUUGCUUUGUUGUUACAUUUCCUAUACUGCAGAGUAUAGUUUGACAGAUGUAUUCAAUCACUAUCACAGCCCACGCAUGAAUUUCAGCAAUAUCUGUAUCGUAGUAACGGACGACAAUAGCCCUCUGCAAUCUUCUUCCAUUCUACUAUUUCACCUCUAUUCCAUUGAUUCGAAGUUCAUUCCAACAGAAACAGUCUCACGUUCGAAAAUGUUUCUAUGCAGCGCAACGGAUCACUCAGAGCCACUUUUUUCAGCCUUGGGACAAGUGAAAUUCAAACCGGACGAGACCUAACGACGAAGCCUAAGAAACGGGAAAAGAGGAAUUAUUUUGCGAACAAGAAUGAUUUUUUUUUUUUAAUUUCACAUCUUGUAAACUAUCCAAAUCUCACACACCUUAGGGUUUUAUUCUGUCAUAAGUUUACUACAAUUUACACACUGGACAUUUUACAAUUGCAUUUUGUGUGUAUAUUGGAGUAGGUCUUUCAUAGUAUAAAACCCCAAGCCAUGUGAUUUAUUCUCUAUCCGGAGAAAAAAAAGUUUAAAAGAUGUGAAAUUUUAAAAUUUUAAUCAUUGUUUGCUAAUGUCUAUGACACGAUUUCUAUCUAUAACGAAAACGAUCUGCCUCGUAUGGAGAUCGAAGUAAAAUGUUCUGUUACGAAGGCUUCGCGAUCUAGACAGCUUUUUUCUCUGCAUUUGAUCAACCUGAACGUAAAAUCAAGUUUUGGCAAAAUUAAGAAAAAAGUUUCCUAUCUUGGGAGUUUAAACUGGCUGUUAAGGAAGUUAGAUACGAUGCCGAAGCUUAUGUCAUGACAACGGGUAAAAAGAGCAAGUCGUCGGCUAAAAGAUUGCCUUGAAAUCUUAAGCCUUAUUGAAUAUUAGGUAUUGUGUUACAAUUGAAGAGCGUGUUAGAGCAACCAAAAAUGUGUGAUCGUUCGGAAGUCAUCUAUUUAAAGCGUUUUUACAAAUUGUCGAUACGAGACAAGCUUCACGCAUUCGCUGUAUUUCCCCGCGGAUUAAAUAUGGCCCCUUAUUUAUUUGAUCCAAGUCCACUAAUACCGUUGAUGGCUUCAUCAGUGUCUGUAUGAAGGAGUCGGUGGUGGAUACUGUACAAGAUUAUAAUCGUAGUCAAUCGACAGAGGAUAUUGAUGGAGGUCAGGUGUAAACAGUAACUGAAAUUCGUUGGAGGAGGGACCGAAGGUUUCCAGAUUCUUUUAUUUUCCCACGUGUUUUGGUAUUUUUACACA
rnacentral:lncRNA from 1 species